AAGUCGUAACAAGGUUUCCGUAGGUGAACCUGCGGAAGGAUCAUUAAUAAUAAAAACUUUUGGGUCUUUUCUGUAGUUAACAGUCAAGCUCGAAAACAAAUUGCUGUGUUGGCUUUUUUACUCAAAAAGCCAGCACUAAAAGCAAACCAACUUUGUGUGCACUGUUUAAACUAUCUCUUCUUCUGGCGGAGAAAGUCCAAAGACUGGCCAUUACAUUUUUUAGCAUUUACAUGUUGGAAUCGAAAUGGUCAGCGCCGUCAGAAGGUUAAAAAUUAACAAACUCGUUUGUACCUCAUUGUCUGAAGUCAUCUUUUAAUAAAGAUAUCAAUUUAAUAUACAACUUUUAACAACGGAUCUCUUGGCUCUC
rnacentral:misc_RNA from 1 species